rnacentral:rRNA from 1 species
CCUACGGGGGGUAGCAGUGAGGAAUAUUGGUCAAUGGGCGCGAGUCUGAACCAGCCAAGUAGCGUGAAGGAUGACUGCCCUACGGGUUGUAAACUUCUUUUAUAAAGGAAUAAAGUGAGGCACGUGUGCCUUGUUGUAUGUACUUUAUGAAUAAGGAUCGGCUAACUCCGUGCCAGCAGCCGCGGUAAUACGGAGGAUCCGAGCGUUAUCCGGAUUUAUUGGGGUUAAAGGGAGCGUAGAUGGGUUGUUAAGUCAGUUGUGAAAGUUUGCGGCUCAACCGUAAAAUUGCAAUUGAUACUGGCAGUCUUGAGUACAGUUGAGGUAGGCGGAAUUCGUGGUGUAGCGGUGAAAUGCUUAGAUAUCACGAAGAACUCCGAUUGCGAAGGCAGCUUACUAAACUGCCACUGACAUUGAUGCUCGAAAGUGUGGGUAUCAAACAGGAUUAGAUACCCGAGUAGUC